UGGAGAUGAGCAUCAGAAGGAGUCUGUAGCUACAAUGCUCCAGGUACCAGAUGAAAUGGAGGAAUCAGUGUGGACUUCAGUGCAUGAGCUUGACAACAUCAGACCAGUUGAUUGAAAUGUGCCUUUUAACUUUGUCUUAAGAGAAAACCUGGAGAAAAAGCAUGAAAGGAAAACAACACUCUAAAUGAAAAGUGCAAGAUAUAUACUGCUCCACAGCUCUUUCCAGCUUCUGUGCUGAGUGGAUCAACAAGGGUUGAUAGAAUAAAACUAGGGUCUGCCUGCACCAGGGAGAAUUGUAAUGAAUGAAUUAAAUUACUGGGGGCUUCAGCCAGUUUAGCAGUAAUGAGGAGAAGUCUUCUGUGGUCAAGGUUCUUAGCUUUGGUUGUUUUUAUCCAUUUGCUGUCAGUGCAUGUUUUAUAGAUGAACCAUUAUUGGCAGGAUGUCAGCAAGCACGUGUGCGCACAGUUGGACACCAAGGAGCCUCAGUAAAUACUGAGAUUAUCCAUAAGCACAAACAAAGCUUUGUGAAGAUAAGUUUCAGCCAUAGCAAAAUCUGACAAAACAUCAGUUUGUCACAUCCAAAUACAUUACCAUGCACACAGGAGGUGAUACAUUUGUGUUCUCUGUUUUCUUGAGCCUGAAAUGUCCCUUGGAUUAUUACAGUUCAUGGGGGUUUUCUGAGUUACUGGCAAACGAGAAGAAGCUUAAUGGAUGCAUUCCCAUUUUCAUAUUUUUUAUGAUGGGAGACAUACAAGAUGUAUUUUCUAGCUUGUAAUCAAUAAACACUACAGUCAGAGAGAAAGUCUUUAAAUAAUUUUACAAAUAUAAUUUCAUAAAUGACAAAUAUAUACAGCAUCUUAUACUGUGUGAUAUAAUUUCACAAAAGCCAGUGCUGUAGGAUAUAGAUACCUGUGAACUUUUUCUAUUUCACGCAGGUUCUGCACAGAGACUUUGUUCUUCUCCAGUUCUUGGAAGUGCUGAUCUUUAUGCAUGAAAGUGGAGAACAUUUCUGUACCUUCGUGUUUUAGAGCUCAAGUGCAUCCUUAACUAGCUUUCUGCUCUCCUGUGAAAAGAAUUUCACUUAUAUGGUUAUCAAGUUUGUCAUCUCUCCCCUCUGCCUUUGAAGCAUCCAAAAUAUAUGCCAGGGAGUAACGCUACAGUGUGCUACAAAGAGAUAAAAUGAAGAGAUGAUCAAUCAAAUCCAGAGAUGGCAUGGUUGAGAGCUAAAAGUCUGGUCCAUUUAGGCUGCUGGUAACACACUCAUCUCUCUCUCCCUCUUUCUCUCUUUCCCUCUCUCUCUCUCUGGAUCUAGAUCUUCUGGCUGUUCUGAGUUCAAAGCAUGGCAUUUAGAUGGAAAUUCUUUCAUAUUGGCCACUGUAUGGUAAUAAGGUCAUUACCCUGGCUGGCCAGCCAGAGAGUGUGCAAAAGUUACUGCUUCAGAAUGGAAAUGAAGAGUUUUUUUUUUGUCUCGAGAGUACAGACAGUUAAAGUGAAAUGAUCUGAACUGGGAUUUAGCAGAUCCCUAAGGACAACAGCCUGCCGAGCAGGGCAAACUGAGUGGCUUCAAGUGGGCUCAGCCUCUUCCUGCCAGGACAGCAUCCAAACUGACCCUUGUUAUCUCCUGCAAAAGGAAGAGUGUCACCUCUAGUUCCUCCACAGCCAGCAGCCUAUGGAGUUUAUUUGCCUGAAAGUUCACAGUCUGCUAAUAGCCCAAUCAUGUCAUUUAGAAAUGAUAGUUUCUAAUUAUUUAACUUUGCAAUAUCUCCUGUAGAUGUUGGGAUCAAAUUUAUCCUCUGAGCAUUUCAUUUCAGUGCGUCUUUUCAUAUUUCCUUAAAGAUUAACAGUGAUUUCUCCAGGAAGAGAGAAGUACCUGAGAAAUUACUGACUGACUUCCACAGUAGCAUGGAUAUAUUAUGCUGACAUUUCUAAUGAAAUCAUAAGCAACAAUCCAAAGAAAGAGGAUACAAAGUGAUUUCAAGAUGUUCUGCUAGCCAGUUUCUAAUUGGUUCUUGCUCUAGAAGUAACAGAGGAUUGGAACAGUUUCGUGACAAUUUAAUAGGAAAAAAAAAAAAAAAAAAAAAAAAGAUUUGUUAGUCUCCAAAUUAAUAGGAAAGUUUACAUUGCUGGCAAAAACCACUUGGUCCCACUGUCUUAUCCUCUCUACCUUCCUACCUACUAUUUAAUACUUAAAAAUGUUCCUCUGUGACUGUAACAGAUGUAAUCAUCUUGAAAGAAAAAGAAAAAGAAAAAGAAAAAGAAAAAGAAAAAGAAAAAGAAAAAGAAAAAGAAAAAGAAAAAGAAAAAGAAAAAGAAAAAGAAAAAGAAAAAGAAAAAGAAAAAGAAAAAGAAAAAGAAAAAGAAAAAGAAAAAGAAAAAGAAAAAAAAUCAGUGUCUUGUAUUCAAUGCUUACUAAGUUAUUAUUUCUUCAUUAUAGCUAAUAUGAGUUUAAUUUCCAGUGUCUGUGAUAAUAGAAAUGUACCUCUUCAAUGGAAAAAAAAUAUAUGUAUAUGAUUACAUUUUACCUUUGGGACAAUUUUAUGAAGGUUAACUUCAGUUUACCUAAAUGGGUUCGCUGAAAUGAUAAGUUAAAAUAUUUUAAGUAGUAGCCAUUGCACACACAGUCUGCUGUUGUUCUCUACUAUAUUAAAGUAUUCUGUGCA